GUGAAUCAUCAAAUUUUUGAACGCAAAUUGCACUCUCUGGUAUUCCGGAGAGUAUGCCUGUUUGAGGGUCUGUUAAAAUAAAAACCGGUGUGGUUGCCGCUUUUCGUGGUCACGCACCGGAUUUGGGUCGUCUUGCCUUCGAUUAAGCGACCUAAAAUUUUGCAUGAUGUUUUUUGAACGUUUUUAAAUGUUUUUACGUACGUUUUUGAUAUCUAUUACUAUGUGUGAUCCUCC
rnacentral:misc_RNA from 1 species